AGUAAUGACUCAAUUUAUCAAAAUUCAAUUAUCAAAUUAUAGCUAAGUUCAAUAAAUAUUGCCGUUCUCGGAGUGAAUUUUAUUCACUUUUCCUUUUGCAUCAGGCGUUGUCAAUUUCAGUUCGAUAUAGCCAUGAACACAAAACUGCUUGCAACACUUGUGAUGGUGGUUCUAAUGGUAUCCACAGUUAGCGUAGUCACCUUUGAACUUGGCUGUGACUAUUCUCGCCAAAUGUGCCAACUUGGAUGCAAGACGAGAAAUCUCAAUUUUCUCCAAAAACUGGACUGCAACAACCAAUGCGAGUCUUCCUUUGUGAUCUGCAAAUGGCAAAACUGAAAUUCACAAAUAACUUGUGUCAAUGUGUUGAAAACUGAAUAAAUCAGUUAAAGCAACAAA